GUACUUGUUUCGGCAGUACAUAUACUAAAAUUGGAAAGACACAGAGAAGAUUAGCAUGGCCCCUAUUUUAUAUCACAUUUCCUACAUUCUUUAAUUUUUAUU